CGAUCGGUAGCCGGACUGAGAGGUUGAACGGCCACAUUGGGACUGAGACACGGCCCAGACUCCUACGGGAGGCAGCAGUGGGGAAUAUUGCACAAUGGGGGAAACCCUGAUGCAGCGACGCCGCGUGGAGGAAGAAGGUCUUCGGAUUGUAAACUCCUGUUGUUGAGGAAGAUAAUGACGGUACUCAACAAGGAAGUGACGGCUAACUACGUGCCAGCAGCCGCGGUAAAACGUAGGUCACAAGCGUUGUCCGGAAUUACUGGGUGUAAAGGGAGCGCAGGCGGGCGAUCAAGUUGGAAGUGAAAUCCAUGGGCUCAACCCAUGAACUGCUUUCAAAACUGAUUGUCUUGAGUAGUGCAGAGGUAGGCGGAAUUCCCGGUGUAGCGGUGGAAUGCGUAGAUAUCGGGAGGAACACCAGUGGCGAAGGCGGCCUACUGGGCACCAACUGACGCUGAGGCUCGAAAGUGUGGGUAGCAAACAGGAUUAGAUACCCUGGUAGUCCACACCGUAAACGAUGAUUACUAGGUGUUGGAGGAUUGACCCUUUCAGUGCCGCAGUUAACACAAUAAGUAAUCCACCUGGGGAGUACGACCGCAAGGUUGAAACUCAAAGGAAUUGACGGGGGCCGCACAAGCAGUGGAGUAUGUGGUUUAAUUCGACGCAACGCGAAGAACCUUACCAAGUCUUGACAUCCUGCGACGAUGCUAGAAAUAGUAUUUUCCUUCGGGACGCAGAGACAGGUGGUGCAUGGUUGUCGUCAGCUCGUGUCGUGAGAUGUUGGGUUAAGUCCCGCAACGAGCGCAACCCUUAUGGUCAGUUACUACGCAAGAGGACUCUGGCCAGACUGCCGUUGACAAAACGGAGGAAGGUGGGGAUGACGUCAAAUCAUCAUGCCCUUUAUGACUUGGGCUACAUACGUACUACAAUGGCGUUAAACAAAGAGAAGCAAGACCGCGAGGUGGAGCAAAACUCAGAAACAACGUCCCAGUUCGGACUGCAGGCUGCAACUCGCCUGCACGAAGUCGGAAUUGCUAGUAAUCGCAGAUCAGCAUGCUGCGGUGAAUACGUUCCCGGGCCUUGUACACACCGCCCGUCACACCAUGAGAGCCGGGGGGACCCGAAGUCGGUAGUCUAACCGCAAGGAGGACGCCGCCGAAGGUAAAACUGGUGAUUGGGGUGAAGUCGAAACAAGGUAGCCGUAGGAGAACCUGCGGCUG
rnacentral:rRNA from 1 species